GCAUUGGUGGUUCAGUGGUAGAACUCGAACCUUCCAUGCAGGAGACCUGGCUUUGAUUCCCAGCCAAUGCA
rnacentral:tRNA from 1 species